AGCGGCGGACGGGUGAGUAACGCGUGGGUAACCUGCCCUGUACGCACGGAUAACAUACCGAAAGGUAUGCUAAUACGAGAUAAUAUGCUUUUAUCGCAUGGUAGAAGUAUCAAAGCUCCGGCGGUACAGGAUGGACCCGCGUCUGAUUAGCUAGUUGGUAAGGUAACGGCUUACCAAGGCGACGAUCAGUAGCCGACCUGAGAGGGUGAUCGGCCACAUUGGAACUGAGACACGGUCCAAACUCCUACGGGAGGCAGCAGUGGGGAAUAUUGCACAAUGGGCGAAAGCCUGAUGCAGCAACGCCGCGUGAGCGAUGAAGGCCUUCGGGUCGUAAAGCUCUGUCCUCAAGGAAGAUAAUGACGGUACUUGAGGAGGAAGCCCCGGCUAACUACGUGCCAGCAGCCGCGGUAAUACGUAGGGGGCUAGCGUUAUCCGGAAUUACUGGGCGUAAAGGGUGCGUAGGUGGUUUCUUAAGUCAGAGGUGAAAGGCUACGGCUCAACCGUAGUAAAGCCUUUGAAACUGGGAAACUUGAGUGCAGGAGAGGAGAGUGGAAUUCCUAGUGUAGCGGUGAAAUGCGUAGAUAUUAGGAGGAACACCCAGUUGCGAAGGCGGCUCUCUGGGACUGUAACUGACACUGAGGCACGAAAGCCGUGGGGGAGGCAAACAGGGAUUAGAUACCCUGGGUAGUCCACGCCGUAAACGAUGAGUACUUAGCUGU
rnacentral:rRNA from 1 species